AGGACCCGCCGGGGCUGGCAGUGGGAAGGGCAGGGGCGGUGGCGGCUCUCAGACAGGUGCGCGGCCGCCCACGUGGCCCUGCUGGUGAGGCAGAGAGGGAGGCCGGGAAAGGGAAACUGAAAUGCUUGUCCUCAGACCUGCGAAUGCUACUUUCCUCUCAAGCGUGUCUCUACCUCGGACUUUGAGAGAAAAGACAAAGCAAAGCAGAAGACGGAAAGAAGAUGAAAAGAGGGUCAAGAGGAGAAACCGGGGAGGAUGCGCAGAGCCGGUUUGGUCCCAUGAGCAGGACUCCCUUUGCUCCCCUGGUCUCAGGCCGGGGCGAGGGGCAGCCUGGAAUGACCCUCCACGCUUUCUUGACCCCGACAGCUAUCCCAGAGCCAGGUGUUUCUGUCGUCAGAUGAACCUGUGCGCAGAGAGUGGCGUAGGUCAACCCAGAGCCAGCGGCACUGUUCCUGUUUGCUAUGUUACAAGUUACCCCAGCACUUUAGUUGCUUAGAACAGACACCAUCUCGUUGUGUCUCAUGCUUUUGUGGGUCAGGGAUUUGGGCAGGGCCCACUUGGGUGACUCUUCUGUGCCAUGUGGCGUUGCAUGUGGUUACGUGGUGGCAGAAGGGGACUGCUCUGAGGAUCCUAAACAGAUUUGGUCCCCAACAAUAUCCAGGUCCUGACCCCCCAAAACCUGUGAAUGUCACCUAACAUGGCAAAAGGGGCUUUGCAGAUGUGAUUAAUUUAAAGAUCUCGAGAAGGGGAGAUUACCCUGGAUUAUCUGAAUGGGCCCUAAAUGUAAUCAGAAGUAUCUUUACAAGAGGGAGGGAGAGGGAGAUUGGACCACAGAGCAGGAAAAGGGCUACGUGAGGACUGAUGCUCGAUGUUCCCUUGCUGGCUUCGGAGGUGACAGAAGAGGGUGUGAACGGAGGAAGGCAUGGAACGCAGCUGUGGUUGCUUGGAGAAGGCAAAGAAACAGAUUCCCUUCCAGAAUUCCUAAAGGAAGACAGGCCCUGCCAACACCUUGGUUUGGGAACCAAGUGAAACUGAUUUUGGACUACUGACCUCCAGGACUAUAAAGAAAUAAUGUGUGCUGCUUUAAGUCGCCAAGUUUGUGGCCAUCUGUAUGGCAGCCUUAAAAUUCUAACACAGUGGAGGGGAUUGGAAGACUGGACUGAACCAAGACCAUUGAACAGAGUGGCCGCUGUGGCCCCUCUAGCCCAGAGCUGGUCUCAGCACUUCUUCCACGCCAGCUCAGGACUCCCAGACAGAGGGCUCCAAGAGAAGAGGAGGAAGCUCCCAAGUUCUUAAGGCUUUUCCCAUCACAGAGCCUGCUCAGAUUUAAAGGAUGGAGGCAUAGACCUCACCUUUUCAUGAGAAGUCUUGUGUCAAAGAUUUGUGUGGCUGUCUCUUUACUGCAGGAAAGAAUACUUUCAACACUCGUGCCCCACUGACCAUGAAUCAGCAACAUCACGUUUGUACGCUUAUUCCAUCUGCUGACUUUCAAAAUCCUGGUUCUGUGGAAAGAAAAUAACCUUGAUGUGAGAGGCUUCUCCCACUUUCUCCUGCACUAGAGCACGGUUUGGUGGUAAAGAGAGAUCGUUGAAAGCUGAGGAAGACGGUGGCACUGUCACAGGAAGGAAAAUCGCGACAGAGGACUCACCCAUCUGGCCUGAUCAGAGCAUCCUGCGUGACUAUGAAGAGGUAGUAUCGGCAGAAUCUUGGACUCCUAGGUUCUUUCAGCUGCAUUUUGUUGCUUCUACCACAGCGACACAGUAGGUCCCAGCUGAAUUUGUGUCACAGCUGGUGGGCAGCUUGUCUAAACAGUCCAGACUGAAUUUCCUUGCUUCCAAAUACUACGGAAGACCCUGAGUGCAGAGUGAGUGUGAAAAAUAAACUCCCAGACCAUUUA